UUCAUAAGAUGAUACCCAAAUCUUAGUUUAGAACUUUAAUCAUAUCUAAAAUAUUAUAAUACAUUCUUUUAGAGUGUCAUUUAACACACAUCAAAUCGACACAAAUAAUUGUCCAUAGACUACUAAACACACUGGAUAAUAACACAUUUAUUACAAAGCUGCCAAUUUUAUAUAUUGGAUAAUAGAGAUGAUAGUAUUACAGAAACAUUUAUCAAUCUUCGGCCAUGUGCUCUGAAUCAAUAUAUUACAAUUCUGUCAAUCAGCCUGAACAAUUGUACUUCAGGGGCUUGCGUUUGCUUAUGAAAUAAGCCUAUCAGAAAAUUAUUGAAGGAAGAACUGAAUUUAUUAAAAAUAAAAUCCAUUCAAAAUGGAGGUAAAAUAACUAAAACUUUGCCUAUAAAUACCAGCUCGCAGAAACGAGUGCGUGCAUAUUUUCAAAACAAGAAAUCAACUUCUUUUUCAAUUUGCUGUAAAAAAAUUAAUGGUUCAAAUUUUAGAAGAUUAUGAACCUGUUUUAGUUGUUUUUUUUUCUUUCAAUGCUGUUUUUUGCACUGAUGUAAAUGUAAAUGCGGUAGAUAAUUAGAAAAAUAUUUACAAAUUUAAGGAGAACAAGAGGAAGACGAAGAUGUGUUCAAAAGGAGAACAGUCAAGAUGAAAAUUUUCAGAUGUGGAAGAGGUAACUGGAAAAAAUAUUUUCGAAAGAGGUCAAAAAGAGAAGAAUAUCAAAGAGAAAUACCUGCAAGCAGACUAAACAUUAUAAAGAAUCAACUGGAAGAAUGGCUAAAACAAUUACCACCAUGACAGAUUUCAGAACAAAAUCAUCCAUGGUAAGUCCAAAAGGCAAAAAUAACAACCCCACAAGAAAAAAGAUUAUUUGGAAGAGAAUAAGGAUGAAACAAGAAUUUUUCAAAUUGAAAAAUUUUACGUAUAUGAAUGAAAAAUAAAUGAGAAUAUAAAAUAAAAAAACUUAGCUUUGAUCAAUUGGCAGAGCACUUUGUUUGCCCUGAUCGACAUAGAGGGAAUGUAGUGUAGAUCUUGGUAUAUACAGUUUAGUGACAGGCACAAAUAAGCUGUUGAUAAAUAACAGUAGAAAAAUGAUAAUUAUCAAAAACUACUAUGAUAA